rnacentral:rRNA from 1 species
UGGGGAAUAUUGGACAAUGGGCGAAAGCCUGAUCCAGCCAUGCCGCGUGAGUGAAGAAGGCCUUAGGGUUGUAAAGCUCUUUCAAUAGGGAUGAUAAUGACCGUACCUAUAGAAGAAGCCCCGGCUAACUCCGUGCCAGCAGCCGCGGUAAGACGGAGGGGGCUAGCGUUGUUCGGAAUUACUGGGCGUAAAGGGUGCGUAGGCGGGUUAAUAAGUCAAAUGUGAAAGCCCUGAGCUUAACUUAGGAACUGCAUUUGAUACUGUUAAUCUUGAGGAAAGGAGAGGUAAGUGGAAUUCCGAGUGUAGAAGUGAAAUUCGUAGAUAUUCGGAGGAACACCAGUGGCGAAGGCGACUUACUGGACUUUUUCUGACGCUGAGGCACGAAAGCGUGGGUAGCAAA